rnacentral:rRNA from 1 species
UACGAGUGCCCCGAGCGUUAUCCGGAAUCAUUGGGCGUAAAGGGUGUGUAGGUGGCAGUGUUAGUCACGCGUUAAAACCUGGGGCUUAACCCCAGACGUGCGUGUGAUACGGCACAGCUAGAGGAUGGCAGGGAUGUAUGGAACUCAUGGAGUAGGGGUGAAAUCCGUUGAUAUCAUGGGGAACACCAAAAGCGAAGGCAGUACAUUGGGCCACUCCUGACACUGAAACACGAAAGCGUGGGUAGCGAAUGGG